UCAGUUGGCUUAAGUACCCUAAAUGCACCAGAUUCCCAUCUGAUCUUGGGAGCUAAGUAGGGUCAGCUCUGGUUAAUUCUUGGAUUUAGGACCACCAAUGGAUACCAGGUGCUUCCUUUC
rnacentral:rRNA from 11 species